rnacentral:rRNA from 1 species
CUACGGAGGGGGUUAGCGUUGUUCGGAAUUACUGGGCGUAAAGCGCACGUAGGCGGAUUGGAAAGUUGGGGGUGAAAUCCCAGGGCUCAACCCUGGAACUGCCUCCAAAACUAACAGUCUAGAGUUCGAGAGAGGUGAGUGGAAUUCCAAGUGUAGAGGUGAAAUUCGUAGAUAUUUGGAGGAACACCAGUGGCGAAGGCGGCUCACUGGCUCGAUACUGACGCUGAGGUGCGAAAGCGUGGGGAGCAAACAGGAUUAGAAACCCCAGUAGUCC